rnacentral:rRNA from 1 species
CCAAUAGCGUAUAUUAAAGUUGUUGCAGUUAAAAAGCUCGUAGUUGAAUUUCGGGGUUAGUAGGUUGGUCAUGCCUCUGGUAUGUACUGGUCUCACUGAUUCCUCCUUCCUGAUGAACCGUAAUGCAAUUAAUUUGGUGUUUCGGGGAAUCUGGAGUGUUACGUUGAAAAAAUUAGAGUGUUUAAAGCAAGCUCACGCUUGAAUAACUGAGCAUGGAAGAAUGAAAUAGGCGGUUCGAUCCUAUUUCGUUGGUUUCUAGGAUUGACGUAAUGAUUAAUAGGGAUAGUUGGGGGCAUUAGUAUUCAAUUGUCAGAGGUGAAAUUCUUGGAUUUAUUGAAGACUAACUACUGCGAAAGCAUUUGCCAAGGAUGUUUUCAUUAAUCAAGAACGAAAGUUAGGGGAUCGAAGACGAUCAGAUACCGUCGUAGUCUUAACCAUAAACUAUGCCGACUAGGGAUCGGAUGAUGUUAAUUUUUUAAUGACUCAUUCGGCGCCUUACG